rnacentral:piRNA from 1 species
UAACAAAUUGUGAGGGAUAGGUGCUUAU